rnacentral:ncRNA from 2 species
CUGGCGGCCAGCGCUGAUUUGUUCCGGCUUGCGGGCGCUUAAUAAAUUCCGCUAAAGACGUGGCCCCGACCCG